rnacentral:rRNA from 1 species
AACGAACGCUGGCGGCAUGCCUAACACACGCAAGUCGAACGGGAUCUUGACUUCGGUCAGGUGAGAGUGGCGGACGGGUGAGUAACACGUGGGAACCUGCCUUUUGGUUCGGGAUAACCGCGGGAAACUGCGGCUAAUACCGGAUACUCCCGAGAGUGGAAAGAUUUAUCGCCAGAAGAGGGGCCCGCGUCCGAUUAGGUAGUUGGUGGGGUAAUGGCCUACCAAGCCGACGAUCGGUAGCUGGUCUGAGAGGAUGAUCAGCCACACUGGGACUGAGAUACGGCCCAGACUCCUACGGGAGGCAGCAGUGGGGAAUAUUGGACAAUGGGGGGCAACCCUGAUCCAGCAAUGCCGCGUGAGUGAUGAAGGCCUUAGGGUUGUAAAGCUCUUUUGCCAGGGAAGAUGAUGACUGUACCUGGAGAAUAAGCCCCGGCUAACUUCGUGCCAGCAGCCGCGGUAAU